rnacentral:tRNA from 1 species
GCCUAUGUGAUGGAAUAGGAAUACAUGUUGGUCUUAGAAGCCAAAUUUUGCAGGUUCAAGUCCUGCCAUAGGCA